ACGGAAGGCAGCAGUGGGGAAUAUUGCACAAUGGGGGAAACCCUGAUGCAGCGACGCCGCGUGAGUGAAGAAGUUAUUCGUAAUGUAAAGCUCUAUCAGCAGGGAAGAAAAUGACGGUACCUGACUAAGAAGCCCCGGCUAACUACGUGCCAGCAGCCGCGGUAAUACGUAGGGGGCAAGCGUUAUCCGGAUUUACUGGGUGUAAAGGGAGCGUAGACGGUUCUGCAAGUCUGAUGUGAAAGGCAGGGGCUCAACUCCUGGACUGCAUUGGAAACUGUAGAACUAGAGUGCCGGAGAGGUAAGCGGAAUUCCUAGUGUAGCGGUGAAAUGCGUAGAUAUUAGGAGGAACACCAGUGGCGAAGGCGGCUUACUGAACGGUAACUGACGUUGAGGCUCGAAAGCGUGGGGAGCAAACAGGAUUAGAUACCCUGGUA
rnacentral:rRNA from 1 species